AUACCAAUGUAGAACGGAGCGGAAGUAUUCGUUCGUAUCUUUUUGCGGAAGUGAAUUGCGAUACGACGCGAUGAGUCCGGAUCGUAGAGAUUGAUUACGUGUCCUUGGAUCGUCCUUGAAGGUCUUCUAACGCUUCGAACCCGCGGUGGAUCGAACUACAAACGAGCACGAUCGCAAAUCCACCGUUCAAGUCCCUGUAGAAUAAUAAGUCAAUGGAGGAUGUGGUAUCUCUCUUUUAUUUUCUUAUUCACUUUCUUUUUCUGUUCGUUCAUCGUUUUAUGUGGGAUUGCCUGUCUAUUUAUAAGGGAUUCCAAAAUCCUAAUAGCGUAAGAGAUAAGGCCAAAUCGGUUAUUAACUGUUAUCCUAAUAUGAUUAGAAUUCAUCUCUAAUUAGCUUUCCAAUUUAAAAGCGAGAUUAAUCCUAAUCCAAUUAGAUAACAUAAUAACCGUCGGAUCGAGCCCGAUCAUGGGUGCACCCGAUUCGAUUUAGCCGAAUGCCAACAGUAUAAAAGUAUGUAUGAUAAUGUUACAGUCCAGUUCAGCGACCUCC
rnacentral:lncRNA from 1 species